CUGAUUUUCAGUGUUGUGUAAAGAGAAAUGUACUCCGCUUUCUUUGGAUAAUACUUGAUAUCACUGCAAUUAAGAUUUUUUUUGCUAGAUUAUUUUAUUAUCUUGAGUUGAACACAGUCUUAGGCUACACAUAUAACAAAAGAUGUCCAUCUUCUUUACAAAAACAAUGAGAAGGA